GUGCUCACUUUUGCAGCACCUAUAUUAAAAUUGGAACAAUACAGAGAAGAUUAGCAUGAACCCUGCACUAGCAUGGCACAUAAUACAAGACAAUGGAACAAUUUAUUU